rnacentral:rRNA from 1 species
UGGGGAAUAUUGGGCAAUGGGGCGGCAAGCCUGACCCAGCAACGCCGCGUGAAGGAAGAAGGCUUUCGGGUUGGUAAACUUCUUUUAAGUAGGGAAGAGUAGAAGACGGUACC